rnacentral:rRNA from 1 species
GUCUAUACCCAUACCACCCUGAAGGCACCCGAUCUCAUCUGAUCUUGGGAGCUAAACAGGGUCGGGCCUGGUUAGUACUUGGAUGGGAGAGAAAGCAUCCAAAAUUUUUUCUUAGACC